rnacentral:rRNA from 1 species
AUGGGUUUCAGCGUCGGGGAGACGCUCGCGUCGUCGGUGGUGAAGGAGGCGGUGAACAUGAUCCGCGUCGCGGCCGAGCGCGAGGCGGGCCUGCUCUCGAGCUUCAAGGACGACCUGGGGGCCAUGGGGGACACGCUGGAGACCAUCCACGCGGCGCUCAGGGACGCGGACGCCGCCCAGGGGCCGGCGCCGGCGAGGAUGGACGAGAGGACGCGCCUGCUGCUCGGGCGCCUCAAGGCGGCGGCGCAGGACAUCGAGGACCUGCUGGAGGAGUUCGCGGACGCCGGCGCCCGGGGCCGCCGCAGCAACUGGCUCCGCGAGGGGUCUCGCUGCUGCUAUAAUAUAUCUCUGUCGCGCAGUAUCUUGGCUCACAAAAUGAGGAAGAUGAGGGAAAGAUUAGGAAGAAUUCAAGCAGAUGCUGGACUUGCUAGAUCCCAUGGUGGCACGAGCAGCAAUCUCCAUGAUCAGGAUGAUGGGAAGACGACACUUGCCCGGCUGGCCUUCAAUGCUGAGCCUGUGAUCAGAGCCUUCGAUUGUAGGGUCUGGAUUCAUGUGUCUAUGAAAUAUGAUUUGAUUAAAAUUGGGAAGUCGAUACUUUCCAAACUUGAAGCAAAUUGUUCUGGUGAUUUGGAUCACUUGAAGACACAACUGAAAGGAUUGCUCAAGGACAAGACUUUCUUGAUCGUUCUGGAUGACAUUUGGGAGGAAGACCCGCAUGAACUGGUGAAGUUGAUGGAUUUUCUGAAUGUUGGUGCAAAAGGAAGCAUGGUCUUAGUUACUACACGAUAUGAGAAAAUCGCUAUAAACAUGGACCCUGUUCUAUGCCACAGGCUGGACAGUUUAUCUGAUGGAGAAUGUUGGGAUCUUUUUAAGGAAACAGCCUUCGUCUCUGAAGCCAAAGAAGCAAGACUGCAACACAUCGGCAGAGAUAUAGUAAAGAAGUGCAAAGGUGUUCCUCUAGCUGUGAGAUCGCUUGCAUUUAUACUAAAAUUCAAGGAAGGGGUUGAUGAGUGGGAAGAUAUCAGGGAUAGUCACCUCUGGGAAUUGGAGGAAAAACAAGAUAUAUCUUUUGAGAGUGUCCUACCAUCAUUGAAGUUGAGCUUUCAACAUAUGUCUGCCACCUUGAAAUUAUGCUUUGUGUAUUGCUCUGUCUUCCCAAAAGGCAGUUACAUUGAUAAGGACUUGCUGAUCCAACAAUGGAUUGCACUUGGGUUUAUUCGGCUUAAUGAGUCGUUCCAUCCUGAAAGGCACGGUGAGGAGUAUGUUAAACAACUUUUGGGGAUGUCCUUCCUUCAGAUUUCAACUACACAAACACCUGAGUCACCCUUAUAUGACUUGGCAAGAUCCCUGGCGAUGGUGGACCUACUUUUCCUUGACACUGAGAGUAACCUUAAAGUUAGUUCCACACACAGUGAUUGCCGUUAUGCAGUGCUCACCAAUUGCAGUCCAACAACUCUCCCUAACAAGAUGAUGCGAAAACUGAGGGCUCUCCAUGUUAACGAAUGGAAGCAAGAAAAGAUCCCUAAUAAAAUAUUUGCUACUAAAUUCUUGAGAGUCUUGAAUUUAAGUGGAUGUUCUCUUUUGGUGCUGCCAAGUCGCAUCAAACAGUUGAAGCUACUGAGGUACCUUGAUGCUUCAGGAAUGCAAGAUAAAACGCUUAAUCACUUGAGCAGUCUGCAGAAUUUACAGGCAUUAAAGCUCUCAGGUAGCUUGAUUGGGGCACUUCCACAGGACAUGGGUUCUCUUGAGAAGCUGCGUUAUUUAAAUCUGAGUGGUUGUUCUAAUCUUUUGUUGCCUCCACAUUUUGGCAAUCUUUUUAGCCUGUCAACUCUGGAUUUAUCAUCUUGUUGUGACUUAACAAAGCUUCCAGAGAGUCUCGGUAGCCUUCAAAAGCUUCGUGUUCUAGAUCUUUCUAACUGUUGGAAACUUGAUGCAUUGUCUGAUUCUUUUGCUAAACUUGAUCAUUUGAAGGGUCUAAAUUUGUCAUGUUGUUAUGAACUUAAAGAGCUACCAGAACUAUUUGGCAACCUUGAGACUCUGGAUCUGUCAGAUUGUCACAAGCUUCAGAAAUUGCCUGAAUCUAUUUCUGGACUUAAAAUUUUGAAGGUACUAAUUCUAUCUGACUGCUGGGAACUAACUGUACUUCCAGAGUCAUUCGGGAAUCUCAAACAACUCCAGUAUCUAGACCUGUCAAGUUCUAAGAUUUCUGCAUUGCCUGAAUCUGUUAGUGAACUUGUCAAUUUAGAGUAUAUGAAUAUAUCAUGGUGCACGGAUCUUCAUGAGUUACCUGGUAACUAUGGCAAUUUAGUCAAACUUGAAGAGCUGAACAUGUCAUACAUUGGCAAUGGUAAUGUCAACAUUCCGAAGGGGAUAGCUGAAAUGUCUAAUCUCAAGAUUCUGUUGGCAGAUGGCCUUGUCAAUUGGUCAUGGGAAAAUGAAGAAGAUAUCGUGUUCUUUAAUGCUUUAAGUAGCUCCAGGUCUAGUUUUUUCUUUACUGGGGAGAAUAAACCAAGUGAUUUAAGCAUAAAGGAUAAUACUCUUCUAGUUGGAGAUCUUGGGCGUGUGCAGAAUCUUGCGGAAGUUGAGGAACUGCAAUUAUGGAAAAGGCGGCAGCUGCAGUCACUGAUGGUCUCGGGGCAUGGUUAUGGGACUGGUACAGAACUAGCACAAGAACUUGUGCCUCAAGAGGCCGUGCUUGAGAAAUUGCAACCUCCAAGGACACUAGAGCGGUUUGAAUUGUUGGGCUGUACUUUUUGUACAUUUCCUAGUUGGAUGACAGACAUUGCAUCUUUCCUCCCAAACCUUGCUCACCUUGAACUACGCCAUCUGGAAACAUGUGUCUGCCUUCCACCUCUUGGACAACUGCCUAAGCUACAUAUGUUGGUGAUAUCUGACAUGCCUCAUAUCAAGGAAGUCAAUCAAGAAUUCUCAGGGGGUGCUAGACCAUUUCAGAAGUUAAGAAACAUUGUGAUAGAGAAUAUGCCAAACCUGGAAAAAUGGCACACAGAUGCUACUGUAAGUGGCAAUGAUGUGGAAUUGAUGUUCCCAGUUCUUCAUCAUCUGAAGAUACACAAAUGUCCAAAGUUGAGAUUUCAGCCGUUCCUUCCUCGAUCUGUGUCAUUGGAAAUUUAUAGAAGCAAUCAAGUUCUAUCGUCAGGAGUUCAAUCAACUGGCCUGCCAACAAUAAGGGUGCUGAUCGAUUCCUGCACAUUAUCUUCUGAUGGUUUGAUAGGGUUGAGCGGGAACCAGCAGCUGGCGCGCGCCAGAAAGAGGAAUUGGCGGGAGGGAAGAGAAAUUGGGCGGGAGAGAGGGGGUAAACAGAGGCAGGAGAGAGAGGGGAACACACCUGUGACUCCAAAUCGAGGGGAAAAGAGAGAGGAGCUCUCUCCUCUCAGUCUCUCACGCCGCCGGCCCAGAUCCGUUCCUCCUCCGCCGGCCUCCCCCUGUCCGGCCAAGCUCCUCCUCCGCAGGCCCUUCCCCUCUCCGGCCAAGAUCCAUCUCCGCCGGCCAUCCCCCUCUCCGGCCAAGUUUAUAUUUCUAUUGUGGAAGGCAGAAAUGGGAAACAAGAUGGGAGGAAUGGAUGCUAUGUGGGCUCAACAACCAGGAAAUUCAAGGUAUGAAUCAGUUACAUGUCCACUCAUGGCUGCCAUAUUAGUACCCCUAGCGCCUAAUAAUAAGUGUCUAAGGCGUCGCCUCGCCUCACGCUUUGAGCGCCUAGGCGUUGAGGCGCCCCCCCAGCGCCUUAAAGCGCCUGGACGCCUUGAAAACAUAGCUCUUACCUCCCUCAAGUUCCUCGGUGUGCGCCACUGCAUAGGUCUGGAUAACUGGAGAGAUAGCAUUGACAUGCUAACUUCACUGAAGAGUUUAGAUAUAGCUAUGAGCAAUGUUCCUGAAUGCUUGGGAGGUGUCACUUCACUGGAGUGUCUGAAAAUCCGUAACUGCCCAGUAAAUUAUAACACUCUAGAGCAAGUACUACAUCUUACUGCAUUGGUGGACCUGUCAAUUUGUUGUAGCCAACCGACUAAAUUAGUAAAUGAACAAGAGGUCAAUUGGUUGACGAAUAUGCCAUCCUGUCUCAAGAAUCUUGUAAAUCUUGAGCUUGACAGUUUCAUUGGCUGUGACCGACUUCCCUUCCUUGGCUGUCUAGAAAAGCUACGUUCAUUGACACUACGACAGAUGCCUGAUCUCAAGACAGUGCAUCAGGAUAUUUCCGGGGGCAGCAAUUGUUUGCCGAUGCUACAAACCCUCAAGAUAGGGAGCAUGCCUAAUCUUGAAAGGUGGACUACCGCGCAUGCUACUGCAGCACAUGCUACUCAUGUGAGGAUCUUCCCUGAUCUUCAACUACUCAAGGUUUUUGACUGUCCAAAGCUUAAGUUUGUGCCAUUUCUUCCAGUCUGCUCAAAGUGCAUUAUCAGUGUGACUAGUGAGGUAAUAGUGCCGGAGCACCAUGAUGAUCCUCCCUGGGACAUGCCCACAUCAGAACUAUUCUGCUUCUAUUUACAUGGUAGAUGCACAGGACUCCAAUACUUCAAAUUCCUGAGAUUACUAUCAGUUUAUGGCUGUACAAAUAUGAGCAGUUGGCAAGAAAGCAUCCUCCUCCUUACCUCCCUUCAGAAACUGGAGUUGCAUGAGAGCGACAUGCCUGGAUGGUUGUGUAAACUCUCCUCGCUGUGUGAACUUCACAUCAUAAAGAGCAAACCACCGCUCAACCUAUCCCAGUUUGUUUAUGAUCGUCACCAGAUUGCCUUAAGAAUCGAGGAUUGCCAGGGGACACUCAAGCAGGUGCCUUCUGUAGUGAUUUUGGACAUGAUAAGACACAUCACUUCUGUGGAAAUAAUUGGUAGUGGCGAAAUGGUGAACUCUUCAAGUGCAAACUUCGAAAGUCCAGUGAGUGGUACAUGCCGCGUGCAGAUGCUGGGUCACUGCCGACCAUCCUUGGCACAUGGCAAGAGGAACCGACAGAGCUCCGCUCUGGUGAUACAGCCAACCCUGACCAACCAGGGCCUUCACUCCUUCAGGAACCAAGUGACCGAUGAUGAUGAUGCGAAUAAGGAGAUGGUGGCAGUGAAGACCUCCCUCCUCCUGAUGCUUCUUCCUCAGUGA